rnacentral:rRNA from 1 species
GACUGCGACCCCAGGUCAGGCGGGAUCACCCGCUGAGUUUAAGCAUA